UACAGAGGUCUCAAGCGUUGUUCGGAUUUAUUGGGCGUAAAGGGUGCGCAGGCGGUGUGGUAAGUUUGGUGUGAAAUCCUGGGGCUCAACCCCAGAAAUGCACUGAAUACUGCCAUGCUAGAGGACUGGAGAGGAGAUUGGAAUUCACGGUGUAGCAGUGAAAUGCGUAGAUAUCGUGAGGAAGACCAGUGGCGAAGGCGAAUCUCUGGACAGUUCCUGACGCUCAUGCACGAAGGCUAGGGGAGCAAAC
rnacentral:rRNA from 1 species